rnacentral:rRNA from 1 species
AGCGUACAUGGUGGAUGCCUUGGCAGUCAGAGGCGAUGAAGGACGUACUAACCUGCGAUAAGCUGUGAGAAGUCGGUAAGAGACGCUAUUACUCACAGAUUUCCGAAUGGGGAAACCCACCCGAGAUAACUCGGGUAUCUGUUACUGAAUACAUAGGUAACAGAGGCGAACCGGGAGAACUGAAACAUCUAAGUACCCCGAGGAAAAGAAAUCAACCGAGAUUCCCUCAGUAGCGGCGAGCGAACGGGGAUUAGCCCUUAAGUUUCUUGGAAGUUAGUGGAAUGGUCCUGGAAAGGCCAGCGAUACAGGGUGAUAGCCCCGUACAUGAAAGAGAGAAUAGUGUGAAGACGAGUAGGUCGGUCCACGUGUAAGACUGACUGAAGAUGGGGGGACCAUCCUCCAAGGCUAAAUACUCCUAACUGACCGAUAGUGAACCAGUACCGUGAGGGAAAGGCGAAAAGAACCCCGGAGAGGGGAGUGAAAUAGAACCUGAAACCGUGUGCGUACAAGCAGUGGGAGCACCGCAAGGUGUGACUGCGUACCUUUUGUAUAAUGGGUCAGCGAGUUACUUUCAGUGGCGAGGUUAACCGAAUAGGGGAGCCGUAGGGAAACCGAGUCUUAAAUGGGCGCUAAGUCGCUGGGAGUAGACCCGAAACCGGGCGAUCUACCCAUGAGCAGGGUGAAGGUCAGGUAACACUGGCUGGAGGCCCGAACCAACUCCCGUUGAAAAGGUAGUGGAUGACUUGUGGGUAGGAGUGAAAGGCUAAUCAAGCUCGGAGAUAGCUGGUUCUCCUCGAAAGCUAUUUAGGUAGCGCCUCGUGAAUGGUUGCUGGGGGUAGAGCACUGUUUCGGCUAGGGGUCCGUCAAGGACUACCAACCCGAUGCAAACUCCGAAUACCGGACAACUGAAUCACGGGAGACAGACGGCGGGUGCUAACGUCCGUCGUCAAAAGGGAAACAACCCAGACCGCCAGCUAAGGUCCCAAAAUUCCGGUUAAGUGGUAAACGAUGUGGGAAGGCAUAGACAGCCAGGAGGUUGGCUUAGAAGCAGCCAUCCUUUAAAGAAAGCGUAAUAGCUCACUGGUCGAGUCGGCCUGCGCGGAAGAUAUGGCGGGGCUAAAACCGGAUACCGAAGCUGCGGACUCUGCAUUGCAGAGUGGUAGAGGAGCGUUCUGUAAGCCUGUGAAGGUGAACUGGAAAGUUUGCUGGAGGUAUCAGAAGUGCGAAUGCUGACAUGAGUAACGAUAAAACGGGUGAAAAACCCGUUCGCCGAAAGACCAAGGGUUCCUGCGCAACGCUAAUCGGCGCAGGGUGAGUCGGCCCCUAAGGCGAGACCGAGAGGUGUAGUCGAUGGGAAACUGGUUAAUAUUCCAGUACCGACAAUGAUUGCGAUGGAGAGACGGAGAAGGCUAGGUGUACCAGGCGUUGGUUGUCCUGGGGAAAGCACGUAGGCAGGGGGUUUAGGCAAAUCCGGACCCUCAAUGCUGAGAUGCGAGACCACGACUCCUUUGGAGUUGGAAGUCACCGAUGCCAUGCUUCCAGGAAAUAUCUUCUAAGCUUCAGAUCAUUGUUGACCGUACCCAAAACCGACACAGGUGGUCAGGUAGAAGAUACCCAGGCGCUUGAGAGAACUCGGGUGAAGGAACUAGGCAAAUUGGCACCGUAACUUCGGGAGAAGGUGCGCUCUUGUAGGUGAAGUCCUUGCGACGUAAGCCUGUGAGAGUCUCAGAAAAUAGGCCGCUGCGACUGUUUAUUAAAAACACAGCACUCUGCAAACACGAAAGUGGACGUAUAGGGUGUGACGCCUGCCCGGUGCCGGAAGGUUAAUUGAUGGGGUCAGCGAAAGCGAAGCUCUUGAUCGAAGCCCCGGUAAACGGCGGCCGUAACUAUAACGGUCCUAAGGUAGCGAAAUUCCUUGUCGGGUAAGUUCCGACCUGCACGAAUGGCGUAACGAUGGCGGCACUGUCUCCACCCGAGACUCAGUGAAAUUGAAAUCGCAGUGAAGAUGCUGCGUUCCCGCGGCAAGACGGAAAGACCCCGUGAACCUUUACUACAGCUUCACAUUGAACUCUGAACCUGUCUGUGUAGGAUAGGUGGGAGGCUUUGAAGCCGGGACGCCAGUUCUGGUGGAGCCAUCCUUGAAAUACCACCCUGAUAUGUUUGGGGUUCUAACCUUGGUCCCUUACCGGGAUUGGGUACAGUGUGUGGUGGGUAGUUUGACUGGGGCGGUCUCCUCCCAAAGAGUAACGGAGGAGCACGAAGGUGCGCUCAGCGCGGUCGGACAUCGCGCAGAGAGUGUAAAGGCAAAAGCGCGCUUAACUGCGAGACCCACAAGUCGAGCAGGUACGAAAGUAGGUCUUAGUGAUCCGGUGGUUCUGUAUGGAAGGGCCAUCGCUCAACGGAUAAAAGGUACUCCGGGGAUAACAGGCUGAUACCGCCCAAGAGUUCAUAUCGA